GUUGGAAGCUUAGACACAGAGAUGGGGAGUCGCACUUAAGUUGCACAAACUGCUGACUUCAGACUUGCCUUGCAACUUGACCCAAAAGACUCAGACUCAAGCUUUGAGGCUCAUCAACAACUUGUUUUCAUGCAAUUAUUGCUUUUAAAAUAUGAGUUUAUUCAUGUCUUUCUAUUUUCUUUUAUUGGGGCAUGUACGUUGGCGAAACGUAUGACGAGCUGCAUGACUCCUGCCCUUUGCCAUUAUGUACAAUGUUAACGCAUGCGUUAUGACUUGUGUGUGCGGACUCACAUAUAAAAAAAUGCAU